UACGUAGGGUCCGAGCGUUGUCCGGAAUUAUUGGGCGUAAAGAGCUCGUAGGCGGUUUGUCGCGUCGUUCGUGAAAACUCACAGCUUAACUGUGAGCUUGCGGUCGAUACGGGCAGGCUAGAGUUCGGUAGGGGAGACUGGAAUUCCUGGUGUAGCGGUGAAAUGCGUAGAUAUCUGGAGGAACACCGGUGGCGAAGGCGCCACUCUGGGCCGAAACUGACGCUGAGGAGCGAAAGCGUGGGUAGCAAACAGG
rnacentral:rRNA from 1 species